rnacentral:rRNA from 1 species
AACUUUCAACAAUGGAUCUCUUGGCUCUGGCAUCGAUGAAGAACGCAGCGAAAUGCGAUAAGUAGUGUGAAUUGCAGAAUUCAGUGAAUCAUCGAAUCUUUGAACGCACAUUGCGCCCCUUGGUAUUCCGGGGGGCAUGCCUGUUCGAGCGUCAUC